UACGUAGGGGGCAAGCGUUGUCCGGAAUCAUUGGGCGUAAAGCGCGUGUAGGCGGCCAGAUAAGUCCGCUGUGAAAUCUCGAGGCUCAACUUCGAGCUGUCGGUGGAAACUGCCUGGCUAGAGUCCGGAAGAGGAGAAUGGAAUUCCUGGUGUAGCGGUGAAAUGCGCAGAUAUCAGGAAGAACACCCGUGGCGAAGGCGGUUCUCUGGGACGGUACUGACGCUGAGACGCGAAAGCGUGGGGAGCGAACAGG
rnacentral:rRNA from 1 species